UACGGAAGGUGCAAGCGUUAAUCGGAAUCACUGGGCGUAAAGCGCGCGUAGGCGGCCAUGCAAGUCGGAUGUGAAAGCCCUCGGCUCAACCGGGGAAUUGCAUUCGAAACUGUGUGGCUGGAGUCCUGGAGAGGGUGGCGGAAUUCCCGGUGUAGGAGUGAAAUCCGUAGAUAUCGGGAGGAACACCAGUGGCGAAGGCGGCCACCUGGACAGGUACUGACGCUGAGGUGCGAAAGUGUGGGUAGCAAAC
rnacentral:rRNA from 1 species